GACGAACGCUGGCGGCGUGCUUAACACAUGCAAGUCGAACGGAAAGGCCCUGCUUUUGUGGGGUGCUCGAGUGGCGAACGGGUGAGUAACACGUGAGUAACCUGCCCUUGACUUUGGGAUAACUUCAGGAAACUGGGGCUAAUACCGCAUAGGAGCUCCUGCUGCAUGGUGGGGGUUGGAAAGUUUCGGCGGUUGGGGAUGGACUCGCGGCUUAUCAGCUUGUUGGUGGGGUAGUGGCAUACCAAGGCUUUGACGGGUAGCCGGCCUGAGAGGGUGACCGGCCACAUUGGGACUGAGAUACGGCCCAGACUGCUACGGGAGGCAGUAGGGGGGAACAUUACACAAUGGGCGGAAGCCUGAUGCAGCAACGCCGCGUGCGGGAUGACGGCCUUCAGGUUGUAAACCGAUUUCGCCUGUGACGAAGCGUGAGUGACGGUAAUGGGUAAAGAAGCACCGGCUAACUACGUG
rnacentral:rRNA from 1 species